GCGCUCGUGGCGAAAUUGGUAUACGCGAUAGAUUUAGGUUCUAUUCUCGCGAGAGGUAGGGGUUCGAGUCCCCUCGAGCGUACCA
rnacentral:tRNA from 1 species